GUCCACGCCCUAAACGAUGUCAACUGGUUGUCGGGGAAGCAAUUCCUUGGUAACGAAGCUAACGCGUGAAGUUGACCGCCUGGGGAGUACGGCCGCAAGGUUAAAACUCAAAGGAAUUGACGGGGACCCGCACAAGCGGUGGAUUAUGUGGAUCAAUUCGAUGCAACGCGAAAAAACCUUACCUACCCUUGACAUGUACGGAACCCCGCAGAGAUGCGGGGGUGCCCGAAAGGGAGCCGUAACACAGGUGCUGCAUGGCUGUCGU
rnacentral:rRNA from 1 species